GUUGGGGCAAGUAUGGACACAACAUUCAAGCUGGAUUCAGCUCUAAAUUUGGAUUGUGAUUAAAUAGUUGACACAGCAUAGGUUUCUGACACAGAAUGAAUGUGGUCUAAUGAACUUAAAAAUUUUUUUUUGCCUUUGAGCAAUUCACUAUGCUGUUGAAUAUUAAUCCUCUCAAAAAAAUGUUUGAAGAAAUUUUCUUUUUAUUUAUGAAAUCUGAAAUGAAAAAAUUGACCCCCCCAAUUUUUUUUUUCACAUCCCCCUUUCCCUUAUUUCCAAAACUGAUCUCAAUUCAAAUUUCUAAUGGAGUUUGCAACAAUAACUACUCAUUUAAAUACAUCAUAAAAUAUUAAAAUGUAAAAAAAGUGCUUGUUAUCACUGAAUGGUAAAGAUUGUUUUAAAUUUAUCAGUUGGUA
rnacentral:lncRNA from 1 species